UACAGGGGGGGCAAGCGUUGUUCGGAAUUACUGGGCGUAAAGGGCUCGUAGGUGGCCAACUAAGUCAGACGUGAAAUCCCUCAGCUUAACUGGGGAACUGCGUCUGAUACUGGACGGCUUGAGUUUGGGAGAGGGAUGCGGAAUUCCAGGUGUAGCGGUGAAAUGCGUAGAUAUCUGGAGGAACACCGGUGGCGAAGGCGGCAUCCUGGACCAACACUGACACUGAGGAGCGAAAGCGUGGGGAGCGAACAGG
rnacentral:rRNA from 1 species